rnacentral:lncRNA from 1 species
CAAGCCCAUUAACUUAAGUUGUAUGACAAUUUAAUGAAUGAAGAUUCAUUAAAGCCCAAAAGCCCAAACAUCCCUAAAUGGCCAGCCAUGAUGAAAUGAAUUAGGGUUUUGGUUGUUUAGGUCACUUAAAGAAGUGACUAUAUAAAUGACUUUAUAACUAAAAUUCAUUAAGGAAAUAUUAAGGGUUUAUUUUGGGGGAAAAUUGGUGAGAAUUGUCUCUCUAUUUUCUCUCUAAAUAGGCCAACACCUUGGAGGGUACAUCUAGCAAUCCUACUACUCCAAGGUCACUCAUUUCUUCUACAAUCGAACCUUGGUGUCGAGAAUUAGAGGUUCUCAAUUUUGGGAACUUGGAGAACCUAUUCUUCCAUCCAAAUCCAUGGAUCUAAGAAGCAAGGAAUGAAGGCCCCUAUCUCUUUGGGUGAUUAGCCUUUGCUUAUGCAAAGAGGAAUCUACAAAGGUAUUAAUUUCAACUCACUUUGUUUUUGAGUUGAUUAUUGGUUCACCAAUCUACUAGGCUUUGAAUUUCAUGGGUAAAUGUUUUGUAUUUGAGUGCAUGUAAGCAUGAUUCCGCCUUUAAUUGUUAAUUGCAUGCUAUAUGAUGUUGCUCAAAUGAACAUGUUUUCACAAAAUAAUUCCUUCAAGUGGUAUCAGAGCCUAGGUCUAGUAGUUGGUGAAUCCUUUUGGGUUUUGUAGUUCAUAAGUUUGUGAUUUAAAAGUUGUAAUUGUUACAAGCUUUAUUCUUGCUUCUUUGAAAGUAAAUUUUGUUGGAAAAUUUGCUAUCUCAAAUGUUGUAGAUGUUGUUCAUAUAAGCAUGAAUAUUGGAGCUAAAAUUUGGUGCCAUGCUUUUGGGAAAAUUCGGCCAAAUCCAAAGGGUGAUUUUUUGGGUUCUUGUUUGACUUGUUAAAAGUGUUUUAAUGUGUUCUUUGGAACCCCUAAGUACCCUAGUUUGGUUAGAUGUUAUUUCCCUUAAGUAAGAAUGGUUUUGGAAUGUUUUUGGGUGAAAAAAGUUCAUGGAAAAAUUUGGGUUUUUCAUGGAUGUUCUUCAUUGUUCUUGAUGUUCUUGCCAAGAACAAAAAGGUUUGGUGUUUUGAUUCAAAGUUUUGAUUUAUUUCAUAAAGUAUAUGUGAUAUGUUUUUAAAUGUUUUAUCAUGUAUUUAAAGUAUUAGAUAUUUGUAUAAAUGAUGAUUGAAAUAAUUGUGAUUGAAUUAUUUCAAAACUUAUCUUACAUACACUUGCAUGUUUUUGACAAAACUCACUAAUCAACACACACACCAACCUUAUCCCUCCCCAAAACCAGCCACUCCCUCAAAGGGAGUACUUUUGGGGCUUUUAUGCAAUUACAUAAAGUUUUGAUACUUUUGUGUAUUUGCACUUUGGCCCAAAAGUUUACGUUUUUACGUUUAGGUCCAAAAACGCUAAAGGACAAAUUGUUUUUGUUCCUUUAAUGAAGUUUUUGCAUUAUUAAAAGUUUGGGUUCUAGUUGUAUUUACAUGAAGUUGUGACUUUUGUGUAUUAUACAAAGUGACCCCAAAAGUUUUUGUUAUUGCAAUAUGGCCCAAAAGUUGAGGUUAAUUGCAUGAUGGCCCAAAUAGGAUGAGAACAAAAUUGUUUUGUCUCUUUAAAUGAGAAUUGGAUUUUCAUUUUGUUUAGCUCCAUUUAAAUCAAUUUUAUGGAUAUAAAAACCAAAUGAAAAUGUUGCAUUCAUUUAAUUAGUUAAAGUGUUAAUUAAUUAAAGGGUGAUUAUGAACCUAAGCCUAAUAUAAUUGAGCUAUGUGAAAGGCGUUUCAAAUUUGUUUGAACCAUGGGAAUGUGUAGAUUAGAUUUUGGUUGUAAUUUGAUUUGAUCAAAUGUUGUAAAAGGGCUUAAGCUCUUCUUUACUUUAAAGUAAUUUGUUAUAUGCAAAUGUUGUAAUGAGCAUAAGCUCACCUUUACUUUGAAGUACUUCUUUCUUGCUUUAUUUGAUAUGCAUGAAAAUGAAGUAGUUGGGUCCAACGCCCAUAAGACAACACGCCUUAAUGUGAUUAAACGCGUAACUAAAAUCAAUCACCAUUCCUAGACCGAGAUUCAACACAAGGCUCGUGUUGAAUCUAAACAAAGGUUCAUAAUCAUCCUAAGGCCCUAAGGCAACUAUAUAGUCCAUCAAAUGAAUGCAAAGUUUAUGUUAGUAGUAUCAUAUACUCUUGCUUUAAAAAUCGUUUUAAAAGCAUAGUGGGAGUAUUAUGUACAACUAAAACAAUGAGAUGGACCAAUAGUUGUAAUAGGACCAAAAUUGUUUUAAUAGAGAUUAAAAUGUAUGUUUAUAUGUGAUGAGACCAAAAACCCUCAACCAAAUCAUUAUUAAGUUGAUAAGCGUGAGAGUGCUUUGAACACUUUUUCGUGGCCUUCCACCGUGGUAGGCUUCAAUCGUGUGUGACUCGUACAAUGUAUUCGUCCAGUUCUGGGGUUGCAAAGUAUGUGCUUACAUUCAGGAGAAGCCUAUACACAUAUGAUGAAGUGAAAGGUAGGCAACAAGUGUGGCCAAUAUGGAGUUCUUCUGAGGUCAUUCUUGAACCCCUACUUGAACUAGCAUGGUGGGAAUGACUUAACUAAGUGCAAUGGUGCCAAUAUGGAGUUCUUCUGAGGCAUCAUUCUCUAGAGGCCAAACGAGAUGGGUACUUGCAUUAGUUGCAAAUGAGUAAGCGUACUCUCUCAUUAUUAUUGUUGCUAGCCAAUAUGGAGUUCUUCUGAGGUGGGCUUGGUAAUAGUGAGCCUCCCAUAACCUACUAAGAGUUUCAUCUAAAACUCUCGAAUUCCAAUGAGGGAUAUGGAAUUUGCCAAAAAUAGUGGGUGAUGCUAUUUGAUUUAAAGACCCGAAUCAAAUGGCUUAAAAUCAAUCAAUUUAUAUUCGUUAUGUAUUUGAUUACCAAUAUAUUUGCAAACGCUAUCCAACACUUGACAAAUAAAAACCGAAUGUUUUAGUUUCCGUACUUAGGUACCACAAUCCCAAAGAAUGUCUUAAAAGGAUUGCAUAUGUAUCUAAGUAGUCUCAUCCUCACAAUCUUCCUAUUGAUAAUGUAUCAUUAGAAGAAUAUGUUAGAAAAGGUCUAUCAUAAAGAGGACAACACUUUUAAUGUCAUAAUUCUUCAAUUACAAAUUGUUGUAUGAAGAAAUAGGAGUUGCUUUGAACAACCCUUAGUCAAUGCAAACACUUAGUGCUUGUUUCUUUGUUACAUGAACAAGGAAAUUGAGAAGAAAGCACAAAGGCAUGGACACUUUAUGUGCCAUGAUUCUUCACUUACAAUUUGUUGUGUGAAGAAAUAAGAGUUGCCUUGUACAACUCUUUAAAGUUUGUAAUUAUGUUUAGAACAUAAUGGUUGGUUGACAAAAAUAGUCCAUCAACAUGGACUUAUGAUGAUUUUGAAUCAUUGAGUGUUGAAGUGAUAAACCACUUAACGAGACGGAAACUAGGCAAGGACUUCACCUUUGUUUCUCUAUCCUAAUCGUUCACUAAGUUUAUUGUAAACUAUGUAGUGAAAAAUAACCACAUGCUCUCCAAAAUGUUUGAUGUGUAUAACACAAUUGAAAAAGGUUUCAAGAGAGAUAGUGGGAGUUUAGGGACCAUGACUAAUGUAGUCAAAGGUGAAAGUCAAAUAAAGAAGAUAAAUAACUCCAAGGGAACAAACUUUCUUUAUGAAAGGAUGGACAUUGGAAGGGGUAUUUGCAAGAAAUGUCUUGCAAGUGUCAAGGACACACCUUUCGAAGGUGUUGUAAAUUGUUCUUGAAUAGUUCAAAACAGUUGGUUCUUCUACUUGAAUGCAUGAUUCCCUAUUAGUAACUAUGUUUUACAAUCGUUGUAAAAGUGUGGCUAAUAAGAAGUAGAAGAUUAAUGAGAGAAGAGAAAGUACUUCACAUUCGAAGCGUGAAUCAAAUGUAGAUCUCUGCGAAAGCAGAUGGUACUUACUUCCUCUUAUGAACUACCAAAGAAAUUGGAAAAACAUAGAUUGUCUUUAUAUUCCAAUUUUAAGGAACUAAAUUCCGUCACUAUGUGAAAUGGGAUAAAUGUUUUGUUUGACAAAACAAUGUUCUUUAUUAAUCAAUGAUUAGAUUAUGGUAAUCUAAUUAAUUAUCUCUAUAGUAGAGAUAAUAUGGUAGUGUUAACUGUUUAGAAAUAAUGAUGCUUAAAACCCAAAAGGUUGCAAGGAAGUGACUAAUCCCAACUAAGUUGUGAUUCCUCUAAAAACAUAAGUUAUGAGUUGGUGAAAGAUGGAUGCUUGGAUCGUUAGAUCCGGAUCCAAUACCUUCUUGUUAAAAUUGUAUAGAGGCGAAAUGUUCGAAUCUUUAUUCUUUUGGAAAGAAGAAAGAAUCACAAAGUUGUUGAGGUUAAUUCACUUAGAUGUUAGUGGCACAUGUCCACAAACAUAAUACUACUCAUGUUGGAUAACAUUCACCGAAGAUUACUCUCGGUUGGACUAUAGUUUAUUUUGAAUAAACACAAGUCCGAAUACUUUGCAAAUGUUUCAAAGAAUUCAAGUAAUGUAAGUUGAUGAGUAAGACGUCUAAAGUAUUUACCUCCUUAGAUUUGAUCCAAGGAAAGGUAACACUUUAGAUGAGUUUCCUUGAAAGAUAUCAAGGAAAAUAGCAUCAUAAGAUAAUGUAUUUCUCCAUUAGGAGAAGAACGAACUAGAAUAAGAUUUAGUUCGUUAGAUGUUAUCUAUUACCCAUAUAUAGGAUAUAUACUUCUAAAACAAUAUGAUUGUCAAUGAGAAGAUCUUCCAAUAUUUUCAUAACUCCAUAAGAUGUAGUUUGAAAAGAAAGACAAAUGUUAAGCAUGUUAAGAUUUGGGGUUGUGUGCUAAUAAGCAAUAUUUGUUUGAUAACAAUCUUGCAGGAUAUCCUUAAAUAACUUUUUGAUAUCGCUUCUAUAAACCAACUAACAAAUGUUGUUUUGUUGGGUAGUUCAUUGUAAUUCUACAAUGUGAUUUGCCUAAAAGCAAAUGAACGAGAGAUAGAACUCAAAGAAUGGGUUCUUUGAAAGACAAGAAAGUAAUCAACAAAUAUAACAACCUAGUUCCUAUACCUCAAGCUCCAAGGUAGUCGAUAAAGAUUUAUAAACCGUCUCAGUUGAAUGGUUUUGAACUUUAUGACUAUGUCAUAGAGUUGCACCUCUUAAUUCGAAAGAAAUAAGAAUGAAAAUCCUUAUGACUACAUUGAGUGCAUAUACGAUAUAUACUCAAGGAAAUGGUAAAGUACCAUUUGACUCGAAAUAAUGAAACCUUUAAAGCUAAUUGGUAGCUUAAGGUGACUACGAUCAAAUAGAAUGGUUGACUUUAAAGGAACCAUUUUUGAUGUAGUCUUAGUUUCAAUAAAUUCGAAGAUUGCUAGCUACAACUAAAUGGUGAUUCAAUGUUUGGACAUAAUAUGGGUUUCCGAAACCAUUAUUAAGAUAGUCUUGAUAAUAUAUGUCUAAAACUAUAAAUCACAAGACAUGUAAGUUGUAGAGACCCAUCCAUCAUGGAUCUUAGCAAGUUAGUGGGAGCUAUUUGCAUUUUAUGAGAAAAAGGAUCAAAUCGUUUGAUUUCUCAUAAAGAUGUAAAUGAAUCUUUUGUUUACUAGUUUUACAAAAGAUUAGUGGGAGUUAAUCAUGUUCGUAAAAAUUUAAAUAUAUAUGAUAUAUUAAUUUUGGAAAUGAAAAGAAUACUUCUUCGUUAAAGUUAUGACUUUAAUACAUUAUAUGAAGAUAGAAUGUAUAUGGGAGAUAUAGUCUAUAUACAUGGGAUGGAAAUCUAUAAUGAUAUAUUUCAUGAUAUAAUUGGAUUAUAUCAAUCCCUAAUAAUAGACAAUGGAUGCUAGGAAGUUUCUCAUAUGAUGAUAAACUUCAAUAAAAAGGACGAUUCUAGUGAGACUAGCAAGUUGCCCUUCUCAAAGGGAACGUGCCCCUUUGACUCCCAAAGAAAUAAUGCGUAAAUUGAAUCCUUUAUGCAUACGCAGAAAGGUGAUUUAUGUAUUUCAUAUUGUAUGAAAAACAUUGAUAUGAGUUGUACCUAGAACGGUACAAGAUGAUAUCAGUGCAAGCCCAGGAUCAGAACCAUGGCUGCUGUCAAGUGAGUCCUUAAGUAUUUAAGAAAUACUAAAGGAUAAAUUCCUCAAAGAUCGAGGAAGAAUCAAAGUAACGUAAUGGAAGCGUAAAUGUAUUAGAUUAUGAAUCUAAUCCAUCAUUGGAUGUUUCUUCAUUAUGAAUGAAGAGAUAAACAGAUAUCUCUUUAUUAUGACUAAAGAGAUAUUUGGAUGGAAACAUUAAAGUAAUGACUUUAGUGUGUUCCAUUAUGAAUGCAAGAUAUAUUGCCAUAUAGAAGUUUACAACAAUGUUGUUUGGAUGGGAAAGUUCAUUUAUGAACUCUCUCUAUUCGGUUCCAACCAGAAAGUGUAUGACACUAAUGGGGCGAUAGCUCAAGCCUGGGAAUCAAGGUCUCAUCAAGAUCCGAACACAAAUGAGAGACUAAACCACAUGAUUGAGAAUCAUGUAUAAUGGUGACGUCGUUAUUCUCAAGGUUGCUUCUGUGGAUAACACAUAUAGAUAUCCACUGCCUAGGCCUACUAUUCAGCCAUUUAUGAAAUGACUACAGAAGAGGUAUCAUCAAGAUGACCAAGCUGAUUGGCUCUAGUGCAAGUGGGAGAUUGUUGGAAAUGUGCCCUAAAGCCAAUCAUGUGAUGAUACUUUACGGACAUUUCACAUGUUAAACUAAUCUAGUUUAACAUAUAAAGGGCAUACAUUAUUGUUUGAGCCGUCUCAUAUAAAUGUUAUAUGCUUAAACGAUAAAGUCCAAGGAAUAUGUGAUUGGGAGAAUGUAAUCUAAUGAAGUUAGAUUCAUGAGACCAUUCUUUCGUAGACACAUCCUAAACGUUCCUGAUCAUAGGAUUGCCAAUUGGGCGUUGACAGUCCGUUAAGAUCAGUACGUACUAUGUCUUCUCUCAGGGAGAGUGAUUAGUCUCGAAUCAUUGGUGUGUGUGACAUCAAGACAAGUACGGUAGGUGCUCAAUAGAGAAUGAGUUCACUGAACGCGAUCAACGAAGAGUUCUCAUAUUCCAUGUCACAUGAGAACUCAUGGUUGGGAUAAUGCAAAGUAGUCCUUUGACCUGAGGCAUCAUAGUUGUCUUGUGGUUAAGACCUUGAUCUUUGAUUAUGUCAAAGUCACUCCAUCAGGAGGGUGUCCACGGCAUCGUUGGGGUCAAGUGACUUAGCUAUGGAGACAAGUGAAUGCGCAACAAGGGAUCUCUAACCUUCAAACCGUUUGAGGGAGAAUACUCUAUGAUAUGAUUUAAAUCUCUGAUCAGAGUAUGAAUGAGAUUAGGGAAUGCGUUCCGAAUCACAUUCAUGGUAAUCAUAUAAGCACAAGACACACAUUGGAUAGUAGACAUGAGAAAAUAAACUAUCAAACCAAACAAUGUGGUCAAGAGUAUUAGAUUAGAGAAAGACCGUAUUGCAUUUGUAAUCUCGAACUGAAUAGGUUCUCUAACCUCUUCUGAUUAGCUUGGGUAACCAUGAUAUGCUGCUAGGUGUCACUCAUGGUUUGUGGAAGCCCUAAACGUGUAUAAUCACUAAAGGGAGAAUUGAAAAUAGUUUCAAUUCACAAUCGAUGUAAAAUGGUUUUAAUCGCCCACUACCUCGCUAAAAGGAACCUAAUGGAUCGCACACCGUGAAAGGUGGAGAUUGGAGAUUAAACGGAAAUGAGUAAGAAUGAUUAAAUGGUUUAAUCAUUUAAUUAUGGCAAGGAUCAAUUAAUAUGUUAAUUAAUCAAACGAAAAAGUUCGUUAAAGACUUCGGGAUAGUUUUGGACCUUAAGGCCCAAUGGGCUUCGAACGUCAAGCCCAUUAACUUAAGUUGUAUGACAAUUUAAUGAAUGAAGAUUCAUUAAAGCCCAAAAGCCCAAACAUCCCUAAAUGGCCAGCCAUGAUGAAAUGAAUUAGGGUUUUGGUUGUUUAGGUCACUUAAAGAAGUGACUAUAUAAAUGACUUUAUAACUAAAAUUCAUUAAGGAAAUAUUAAGGGUUUAUUUUGGGGGAAAAUUGGUGAGAAUUGUCUCUCUAUUUUCUCUCUAAAUAGGCCAACACCUUGGAGGGUACAUCUAGCAAUCCUACUACUCCAAGGUCACUCAUUUCUU